rnacentral:rRNA from 1 species
CGUGCCUAACACAUGCAAGUCGAACGGGGUCCAGGGGAGCUUGCUCCCUGAAGACCUAGUGGCGAACGGGUGAGUAACACGUGAGGAACCUGCCCCGGACUCUGGGAUAACCCGAGGAAGCUCGAGCUAAUACCGGAUGCCCUCAUCGGGCCGCAUGACCUGAUGAGGAAAGUUUUUCGGUCCGGGAGGGCCUCGCGGCCUAUCAGCUAGUUGGUGAGGUAACGGCUCACCAAGGCGACGACGGGUAGCUGGUUUGAGAGAACGAUCAGCCACACUGGGACUGAGACACGGCCCAGACUCCUACGGGAGGCAGCAGUGGGGAAUCUUGCGCAAUGGGCGAAAGCCUGACGCAGCAACGCCGCGUGCGGGAUGACGGCCUUCGGGUUGUAAACCGCCUUCAGCAGGGACGAAAAUGACGGUACCUGCAGAAGAAGCUCCGGCUAACUACGUGCCAGCAGCCGCAGUAACAC